rnacentral:lncRNA from 1 species
GUAAAUGUUGCUGGCUGUUGUGAACAACAGCAGUUCGCUCGCGCAGCCGAGAAAAAGAAAUAGAAAGGGUUGGAAUAUUCACCUGCGCCGUCGACAAGAGCAUUCAGGUGAGAAUUGUAUCUCUAAAUCUAGUGAUUUCACAAUUAAAGGCUUAGGCGAGAGAACAAACAUAUUGCAUUGACGUUACGAAGUAAUAUGAUAGUGGGAUGGCAGGAAAUUGUUGUUGCUGUGUAUAUUAUUAGAUAGGAUUCAAAUUUUAAUAGUUAAAUAUUGGUUAAUAUUGAUUGGCAAGACCUUAGUCUAAUGAUUAGGUAAUAAUGGCCUAAAUGAUUUGGAAGGAAUAUUGGUGGUGAAUUGAUGAUUUCAUGUUGUAACUUCCAGCGAAUGAAAUGAGGAUUCACAAACUUUAUUCGUCUUUGAUAUUUUGUUCUUUAUCCGUAUACUUAUUAUAUUAUAAUUCAAGUUUUGCUAUAUUGAAAUAAGUAAUUAAAUAUAAUGGUAUAAAAUUAUAUGAAUACCAUUAGGUUGAUGAUAUAUGGAGAAAUUGGAACUUAACCCUAGACUUGAAAUUUGGAGAAAAUUGAAGAGUUGACAUGUUAUUGGCAUCAAGAUUAGGAAUUUGAUUAUAGAUUUGAGUGAAUUUUUGGGUCUAGUCUAGACAGAAAGUAAUGUGAGUGUUUUUAGUUUCAAAAUCUUAUUGUGAUUAUUAAUGUGAAUAGAUUGCUUUGAGUUGGAAGUUCAACAAAAAGGGAAGGCUCAAGUCCCGGAGUGAAUUCUUGAUUGAUUGAGGCAAGUGGAUUUCUAAAUCCUUGUUAAGUGUAUGGAAUUCGUGUAUUUCCUUGUAAUAU